GCUGGUGUGAAAUUGAUUUCUAUGCCUGAAUCUUUCCUGUAUUUCCACAGGAAUCUGUCUGAACUGGCCAGUUUCAGACACAUUUGAGGGAGGUGGCAGAUGCUUUUAGGAUACUGGUUUCAAGAAACCCUGGGCCACGAGAAGAAGGAGAAGACCAGUGUUAAGCUUUCUUUGGAGCAUUCUCCUUGUCAGAUACCAAAGAAUUAAACCAUGAGCUCCUGGCCAGCCUACUGGAAGGUUUCACUGAAGAGAACUGAAUGCUGAUUGAACUGAACAGCCUGAAUUGAAUAACGCUUGACCUCUAUACACCUGUCAAUUGGAUAGGAGUCACUUACGUGAAUUACUAUUAAAAUAGUAAAAAUCAAAGCAAUGCAAUUACA